AAAUAAGGUUUCCGUUUUUAUAUCAAUUUUUAAAAUAAUUAAAAUAAGUUAGGGUUAAGUUAGGAUGAGGGUUUAGUUUUGCGUUAGGAUAGUUUUUUCUACGUUAUAAAAACGGAAACCUUAUUUUGAAGUAUACUAUCUAGCGAUCACCAACCUAAUAUUUCUAGAUCAGUGUAUGGAACGCAUGAAACGGUAAUCGAUCUUUUGUGAAAUUACAAGGCCUCAUUGAAAUGCGGUCUUAAACCACGAGAGUUGCAAUUCUCGCUCGUAUCUGACAGCUAUAGCUCAAUCAUCAAUGAGAUUUUUGCGCGUGGUACUAUGAAGACCCUGUUUAAAGGGUUUUGGAUCAUUUUGUAGUUUUGUAGAACGAAUACAGAUUAUUUAUGCUUAAAUAGCAGGAUUGUUCAGAUUGGAUUUUAGGAUUAUCGAUCUAUUGUAUUUUUUUGGGAUAUUGUU